GUUACAAGACAGUCUCGAAUGUAUUAAUCAGGACACUACUACAUCAAAACCUUACCCAGAUCAAAAUAUUUUGAUGAACAGCCUUAUAGGUUUUUCGCAGCUUUGCAGCCCUAGGCGGGCACCAGGUGUUUCUGAGCCAGCACCGCUCCGCCUAAUCCGGAGCGCUUCUUUCUUUGCAGUUCACAGCACCCCAAUGGACAUGCCCAGUAGAGGGAUCAAUGAAGACAGAGAUAGUGGAAUAACACGAUCU